UGCCUCCCAUUUGUUUUGUAUGAUGGAGCCUCCAAAUCGAUGAUCGGCACCGUUGAAUAUGAUUUAUAUCAAAUGAAAUGUUUAGAAAUCAAAUUUCAUACAUUUCCGAUAUUAUUCUCUUAUCCAUCGUGUGGACACAAAAAUGAACAGCUAAAAUGAAUAUUCUUUAAAAAAUGAUGAUAGGAGUCUUGUAAUCAAGAUCAAAAGCAUAGAUCUUAUUUUAUAUAGUUUAAAAAAUUUUCUAAUAAAAAUUCAAUUGGCUUGGAUAUCUUUACGCCGUUAAACGAGAAAAUGCCUCGUAUCGACUAUUAAAAUUACAAAUUUUGAACCUUUUGAUCAUUAUGCAAAUGAUGCCGAAAAGAUUUGAAAUUUGAUUUUUAAAUACUUCAAUUGGUACAAAUCAUGUUCAAUGGUACCGAUCGUCGAAUUGGAGGCUCUAUCAUCGAAAAUAAAUUGGUGGCAACGGAGACUGUUUGCUAUCGAAAACAAAUUGGUGGCAACUAAAUUUUUUUAAAAUGACAUAUUGAAAGGGUUUCGGGAGUUAGAGGGGCAAAAUUGUCAUUUUACAUAAUAUGUAGUAUUAACGGUUUUCAAUAAUGCAAGAUACACGACCCUCCUCUCGUUAAUAUUUUCGGUGUAAUCCUGCUCAAUUUGUAAUACUACAUUAACGACUAGAUUACAUAGCGGAUGAAUCAAAUAUAGUAAUCCUGACAGGAUUGUCUGUAAUCCUGCCAAGAUAACUCGAACCAAACGCACCCUAAGAGGAUAGUAGCACUUGUCCUAUCAAGUUGUUCUUGAGGAUAGAGAUUCAGAAUCGAUGAUUGGAGCCGUUGAAGUUGAUCUAGAGUAUUUGAAAUAUCUAGAAACUAAAUUUCAUAAAUUUUAAAAUUAUUUACAUGGUGAUCAAAGUGUCGUAAAAUCGACAAUUUUUGACGGCCUAUAUGAGCCGUUUGUUUGUUUAACGGUGUAGAGCAAUCCAAAUUGCUUGAAUUUUUUAUAGAAAAUUUUUUAUACUAUUUAGAUAAUGUUUGAUAAUUCUUAUUAUGAAUUGAGAAAGUCUAACAUCUAUUUUAAGAAGGUUAUUCAUUUAUGACCAUUCAUUUUUCAAACUCUUUGAUGAACUUGAUAAUGAUUUUUAAAUAUUACAAAAUUUGGUUUCUAAACAUUUCUAAU
rnacentral:lncRNA from 1 species